rnacentral:rRNA from 1 species
UACGUGAAACCGUUCAGGGGUAAACGGGAGAAAUCCUGAAUUCGAAUGGGGUUGGAUUCAAGUCCAUCCGGUCUGCAUAACAGUCUGCCAGUCACCAGAUGGUGCUGGGCGCCCGCGGCGAUUCAUUUCGUUUGUGGUGUCGUUCCUGGCGAUCACUCGGUGAGUUGGCCCUGAAAUCUGGCAACGGAGGAGUGCAAUUCCCCCCUAGUAGAAACGUCGCGACCCGUUGGGUGCCGGUCUAAGGCUUGGGAUGUUAGACCGUGCGUCCUGUGGGGGUUCUCACAGGCGUGUGGACUCUCGAUGACCCGGCCGGCUGCCCGACGGUAUGACCAGAGGAGUCGAUCCGCUGAAUGGGAAACACUAUGGUUGUGAAGCGUCCGGCCUGGUGCCGAUGCGUGCGGGGAUUGAGGUGUAAACCGGGGGAGCCUGUGCGAAGCACAGUCCCGGCCCUGCUGCGUGUUUGGUGCCAGUGUCCUCGGACUGGAUCUGUACUUCCGUCUGCGACGCCCAUCUUCGGAUGG